rnacentral:rRNA from 1 species
AUUGAACGCUGGCGGCAUGCCUAACACAUGCAAGUCGAACGGCAGCACAGUAGAGCUUGCUCUAUGGGUGGCGAGUGGCGGACGGGUGAGUAAUGCAUCGGGAUCUACCCAAACGUGGGGGAUAACGUAGGGAAACUUACGCUAAUACCGCAUACGUCCUAAGGGAGAAAGCGGGGGACCGAAAGGCCUCGCGCGGUUGGACGAACCGAUGUGCGAUUAGCUAGUUGGUAGGGUAAUGGCCUACCAAGGCGACGAUCGCUAGCUGGUCUGAGAGGAUGAUCAGCCACACUGGAACUGAGACACGGUCCAGACUCCUACGGGAGGCAGCAGUGGGGAAUAUUGGACAAUGGGCGCAAGCCUGAUCCAGCAAUGCCGCGUGUGUGAAGAAGGCCUUCGGGUUGUAAAGCACUUUUAUCAGGAGCGAAAUACUAUCGGCUAAUAACCGGUGGGGCUGACGGUACCUGAGGAAUAAGCACCGGCUAACUUCGUGCCAGCAGCCGCCGUAAUAC